rnacentral:rRNA from 1 species
GAUGAACGCUAGCUACAGGCUUAACACAUGCAAGUCGAGGGGUAACGAGAGAAAAGCUUGCUUUUCUUGUUGACGACCGGCGCACGGGUGAGUAACGCGUAUCCAACCUGCCUAUAACUAGGGAAUAACCUUGCGAAAGUAAGACUAAUACCCUAUGAUUUCCUUUGAUGACAUCAGAUUAGGAAUAAAGAUUUCUCGGUUAUAGAUGGGGAUGCGUCUGAUUAGCUUGUUGGCGGGGUAACGGCCCACCAAGGCAACGAUCAGUAGGGGUUCUGAGAGGAAGGUCCCCCACAUUGGAACUGAGACACGGUCCAAACUCCUACGGGAGGCAGCAGUGAGGAAUAUUGGUCAAUGGGCGGAAGCCUGAACCAGCCAAGUAGCGUGCAGGAUGACGGCCCUAUGGGUUGUAAACUGCUUUUAUACAGGAAUAAAGUUAGCCACGUGUGGUUAUUUGUAGGUACUGUAUGAAUAAGGACCGGCUAAUUCCGUGCCAGCAGCCGCCGUAA